rnacentral:tRNA from 1 species
GGUGAGGUAUCCAAGUGGCUAAAGGGUGCAGACUGUAAAUCUGUCGAGUUUACUCUUCGUGGGUUCGAAUCCCCCCCUCACCA